AUUGAACGCUGGCGGCAUGCCUUACACAUGCAAGUCGAACGGCAGCGCGGGAGCAAUCCUGGCGGCGAGUGGCGAACGGGUGAGUAAUAUAUCGGAACGUGCCCAGGAGUGGGGGAUAGCCCGGCGAAAGCCGGAUUAAUACCGCAUACGACCUGAGAGUGAAAGGGGGGGAUCGCAAGACCUCUCGCUAUUGGAGCGGCCGAUAUCUGAUUAGCUAGUUGGUGGGGUAAAGGCCUACCAAGGCGACGAUCAGUAGCUGGUCUGAGAGGACGACCAGCCACACUGGGACUGAGACACGGCCCAGACUCCUACGGGAGGCAGCAGUGGGGAAUUUUGGACAAUGGGGGCAACCCUGAUCCAGCAAUGCCGCGUGUGUGAAGAAGGCCUUCGGGUUGUAAAGCACUUUUGUUCGGGAAGAAAUCCCUUGGGCUAAUAUCCCGGGGGGAUGACGGUACCGGAAGAAUCAGCACCGGCUAACUACGUGCCAGCCGCCGCCGUAAGAC
rnacentral:rRNA from 1 species